UGUGAUNGGGGACCCAAGUGCUCAGUGUACAGUGNGGGCUGUUGCAUGUGUAAAUAGCUUGGGAAAUAAGGGGUGGGGCAGACUGGUGCCCGCCGCCGCGGUAACACCCGCGCCCCCAGUGGGAAUCCACUUUAUUGGGCCUAAAGCGUCCGUAACCGGGUUGGUAAAUUUUUUGUGAAAUUGUUUGGCUCAACCUGUUAGGCUGCCGGGGACACUGGUAAUCUUGGGACCGGGAGGGGUUAAAAGUAUUCUGGGGGGAGCGGUAAAAAUCUAUAAUCCCCUGAGGACCACCUGUGGCGAAGGGUCUGACUAGAACGGAUCUGACGGUGAGGGACGAAAGCUAUGGGAGCAAACCGGAUUAUAUACCCCGGGUUCCUAGCAGUAAACGUUGCCUUGCUAGGUGACUGGAAUGGUGGAACCAUUUCAGGUGCCGCUUGGAAACCGAGAAUCUGCCUCCGGGGGAAUCCCGGCCCCACGGAGAAAACUUAAAGAUUUG
rnacentral:rRNA from 2 species